UGUGGCUUUGAGAGCUUUGAACUCUGAGUAGAGGCGGGUUCCUAAAUUUAAGGUGGCAUCCCUGGGAGGCUUUGGAAAUCAUCCUGGGAAGGAAUCAGUUACAGGAGGCAAGUCAACAGAAGGCCAUUGAAAACUGAUAGAAGUUCUCUGGAGCCUGGUUUUGGCUGCUUAUGCAGUUUCUUCCCCUACCAUCUUUAAAAGCAUAAUGGAAGUGGGCAGGGGACCACCUGUAAAUCUCACUAUUUUGACCUAUUCCAACCCCCCGUGUCAAGAUAAGAUAAACUGUGCCCUGAACAUGCCUACUCCCCUCCUUGGAGCAUAAAAAGGAUCUGGAGAACAGCUUCAUCUGAGUUUCAUUCUUGAAACUGAGUGAAAGUAGAAGCAUUCUCUUGUCAAGGGACUCCAGCAUGUAACAUCUGGUGGGAGGAAUGAAGGACCACUGCAGAGUGUGGGGUGGAAAAGGAGCUGGCUAGAGAAGACAGCUGGCUAUGCUGAGGCUGUGCUGGAAGGGAAUUUCACUCCUGGAAUAUCUCAAGAAUAUUUAUAUGUUUAAUAAAUAGGUGGAUGCAAAAUAGAGCAGCAUCAGCUAUAAAAAGCAGGAUGGAAUUAUUCAGGAAGAGAUUAUGGCCUUUACAAAUAUAAUGG